rnacentral:rRNA from 1 species
UUAAAAUUUAUGUAUGGCACAAAGUGGAUGCCUUGACUCAAAUAUCCGAUGAAGGACGUACAAGUCUGCGAUAAGCUUGGAGGAGUCGACAAGAGACGUUAUUACUCCAAGAUUUCCGAAUGGGGGAACCCAAUACAAGUAAUUUGUAUCAUCCGUAAUACGGAAGGACACACGGUGAACUGAAAUAUCUAAGUAGCCGUGGAAAAUAAAUCAAAAGAGAUUCCCUGAGUAGUGACGAGCGAAACGGGAACAGCCCAAACCAUAAGAUACGCGUAGGUAGCUUCUGUACUUAUGGGGUUGUAGGAAUAAUAUUCGGGGAGGCUAAUAAACCGAAUAUACUGUAUUAUUAUUAAGAGAAAUGUAAUGGAAUGCAUACCAUAGAGGGUGAAAGUCCCGUAUCCUAAAAUAAUUUUACCGUGUAUCUAUUAUUUCCUGAGUAGGAUCAGGCACGUGUAACCUGGUUUGAAUCUGGGGAGCCCACUCUCCAAGGCUAAAUAGUAUUUGAGAUCGAUAGUGAACUAGUACCAUGAGGGAAAGGUGAAAAGAACCCCGGGAGGGGAGUGAAAUAGAACCUGAAACUUUGUGCCUUUAAUGAGAUGGAGCCUUCGGGUGACAUCGUACUUUUUGUAGAACGGACCAACGAGUUAAUGAGUAUGGCAAGGUUAAGACAGUUAUAGUCGGAGCCGUAGUGAAAGCGAGCCUGAAUAGGGCGACUUAGUCAUAUUUAUUAGACCCGAAACUAGGUGAGCUUCCCAUGAGCAGGCUGAAGUAAAGGUAAAACUUUAUGGAGGGCCGAACCAUUUGGAGCUGCAAGUCCAUUGGAUGACUUGUGGGAAGGAGUGAAAAGCUAAUCGAACCUAGAGAUAGCUGGUUCUCCGCGAAAUAGCUUUAGGGCUAGCCUCGGUCAACUAUUACAGAGGGGUAGAGCUCUGAUAGGGCUAGCGGGACGCGAGUCUUAGCAAACCCUGAUAAACUUCGAAUACUCUGUAAACUAUACCGGGAGUCAGACGGUGACAGAUAAGUGCCAUCGUCAAAAGGGAAACAGCCCAGACUACUAUCUAAGGUCCCUAAUUUAUAACUAAGUGGAAAAAGAUGUGAGAUUGCUGCGACAACCAGGAGGUUGGCUUAGAAGCAGCCACCCCUUUAAAGAGUGCGUAAUAGCUCACUGGUCAAGCGAUCUUGCGCUGAAAAUUCAACGGGGCUAAGUUAUAAACCGAAGAUGUAGAAUUAAUUUAUUAAUUGGUAGCGGAGCGUUCCGUAUGUUGAUGAAGGUGAAGGGUGACCUUUGCUGGAGAUAUCGGAAGUGAAAAUGUUGGUAUGAGUAACGUAAUGAAGAUGAAAACUCUUCACACCGGAUACCCAAGGUUUCCUACGCAACGUCAGUCGACGUAGGGUUAGUCGGUCCUAAGGUGCAACCGAAAGGUGGAGCUGAUGGAUACUAGGUUAAUAUUCCUAGACUAUGUAUAUGAAGUGAAGGGGGGACAUAUCGGGAUAUAGAAGACUCUGAAUGAAUUGAGUUACGAAGACAAGUCUUAAGAUGUAGGAAAAUCCGCAUUUUUAUUAAGGGCGAGUCCAGUUAUGGUGCUUUUGCUAGCUUGCUAGUGAGAAAUCCGGCUUCUACUAUAUUCUGGUAUCGAGAAAAGCCUCUAAGCGUUAAUUGUAUAUGUAACCGUACCGUAAACGAACACUCGUGGGUUAGUGGAGAACACUAAGGUGGACGAGAUAACCAUGCUUAAGGAACUCGGCAAAACAGCGGUCGUAACUUCGGGAUAAGACCUGCCUGGCUUCUAAUUUAGGAACCAGGCCGCAGCGAAAGAACUCAGGCGACUGUUUACCAAAAACACAGCUCUGUGCAAACUCGUAAGAGGAUGUAUACGGGGUGAUGCCUGCCCAGUGCUAGAAGGUUACGGGGAUGUGUGCAAGCACUGAACUUAAGCCCUAGUGAACGGCGGCCGUAACUAUAACGGUCCUAAGGUAGCGAAAUUCCUUGUCGGGUAAGUUCCGACCCGCACGAAUGGCAUAACGGUCUGAGUACUGUCUCAAGCAUGGACUCGGUGAAAUUGCAAUGUCGGUAAAAAUGCCGACUACCUGCAGCAAGACGGAAAGACCCUAUGGAGCUUUACUAUAGCUUGGUAUUGGGUUAUGUUUUAAAAUGUGCAGAAUAGGUGGGAGACUAUGAAGUAUUGACGCUAGUCGGUAUGGAGUCACCUUUGAGAUACCACCCUUUUUAAAAUGUAACUCUAACCCGUAAUACGGGGACAGUGCUUGGUGGGUAGUUUAACUGGGGCGGUUGCCUCCUAAAGAGUAACGGAGGCGCGCAAUGGUCAACUAUCUUCGGAUGGAAAUCGAAGAGAUAGUGUAUUCGCAUAAGUUGGCCUGACUGAGAGACCUACAAGUCGAUCAGACACGAAAGUGGGCGAAAGUGAUCCGGCACCAACGAGUGGAAGUGGUGUCGCUCAACGGAUAAAAGUUACCCUAGGGAUAACAGGCUGAUCGCGUCCAAGAGUUCACAUCGACGACGCGGUUUGGCACCUCGAUGUCGGCUCGUCGCAUCCUGGGGCUGGAGAAGGUCCCAAGGGUAUGGCUGUUCGCCAUUUAAAGCGGUACGCGAGCUGG